UCUCCAACUCCUGAGCUCCGGCAAUCCGCCCACCUCGGCCUCCCAAAGUGCAAGGAUUACAGGCGUUUUUUAAAGCUUGACUUCGCAGCUAUAUCGUACAUUCUUAUGUGGCUUGCAGGUUUCCAGGCUAGCGCUGCAGGGCAUGCCCCAGCCUUAUCCUUCAGCUGUGUUCUAUCAUCUGCAACAGCCCAGCCAUGUCGUUCUGCCCUUUUCCCAUCCUGAUUUCUCUGGAGGAUUUAAGAAGCAAACAGAAAUAGAGCCAAGGAUGGAGAAACUGAGGCCCCCUGACUUGCCAAGCUGCGACUUCUAAUCCUCUUGGCUACCCCACUGGUCUGGUUCAACCUGAGCUCGCACUGAUUUUUUUGGAUUUGACGUCAAGGCAAACAUCAUUGCAAACUCAAUUCCAGCAUGCCAGCUCCAGAGCACCGUAACCUUUAAAAACUUGGGAUUUCGCCGGGCGCGGUGGCUCACACUUGUAAUCCCAGCACUUCGGGAGGCCGA
rnacentral:lncRNA from 1 species